GGAGUAAAAAGAGCAGGGAAGAAGAGGUCCAUCACAGCAAGGGUGCAACGCCUACCUGAGACCUGAUCUGCUCCCUUCUGCCUUUGAUGUUCCUCACUCUGAGCCAGGGGUCACAGUGCUGGCAGACAUGCCAUGGGGUAUGAAUGAUUUAAAGCAACAGCUGUGGGCAUGACAUGGAAGCUGCUUCUUCACCUCACAUGCCAUCAGCUUCCAGCACCCAUGGCUAAAGUCAAGGAUGAGAAGCUUCUUUCUGCUUGGGAGCUGCCCAGAUGAGGCUUGGAUGCCACUCUGGAAAUCAUCUGAUGUCAGCGGAUGAGCACAGCUCAUCCUAAAUGAUACAGAAGAUACACAAGAUACAGAAGUCUUGAC